GUAGGGUGCCUCUUUGCUGUAUUAGUAGAGGUUUAUCUUGGCUGUAGGGUUUCUCUUUGCUGUAUUAGUAGAGAUGUCUCUUGGCUGUAGGGUUUCUCUUUGCUGUAUUAGUAGAGGUUUCUCUUGGCUGUAUUAGAGGUUUAUCUUGGCUGUAUUAGAGGUUUCUCUUGGCUGUAGGGGUUCUCUUGGCUGUAAUAGUAGAGGGUUCUCUUGGAUGUAGGGUUCUCUUGGCUGUAGGGAUUAUGGAUUCUAGGGAUUGUAGGGAUUGGAUUAUGAUGAAUGGCCGGA
rnacentral:lncRNA from 13 species